rnacentral:misc_RNA from 1 species
UUCGAUUAUGGCUCAGAUUGAACGCUGGCGGGAUGCUUUACACAUGCAAGUCGAACGGCAGCACGGACUUCGGUCUGGUGGCGAAUGGCGAACGGGUGAGUAAUGUAUCGGGACGUGCCUAGUAGCGGGGGAUAACUACGCGAAAGCGUAGCUAAUACCGCACGCCCUUCGGGGGAAAGCAGGGGACGCUGGAGCCCUCUUGCUAUUGACGGCGAACAUCGGAUUAGCUGGUUGGUGGGGUAACGGCUCGCAAGGCGACGAUCCGUAGCUGAGGUUUGAAGGACGACCAGCCGCACUGGGACUGAGACACGGCCCAGACUCUACGGGAGGCAGCAGUGGGGAAUUUUGGACAAUGGAAACCUGAUCCAGCCAUCCCGCGUGUGCGAUGAAGGCCUUCGGGUUGUAAAGCACUUUUGGCAGGAAAAAAACGGCACGGGAUAAUACCCCGUGCAACUGACGUACCUGCAGAAUAAGCACCGGCUAACUACGUGCCAGCAGCCGCGGUAAUACGUAGGGUGCAAGCGUUAAUCAGAUUACUGGGCGUAAAGCGUGCGCGGGCGG